GAUGAACGCUGGCGGCGUGCCUAAUACAUGCAAGUCGAGCGAAUGGAUUGAGAGCUUGCUCUUAUGAAGUUAGCGGCGGACGGGUGAGUAACACGUGGGUAACCUGCCCAUAAGACUGGGAUAACUCCGGGAAACCGGGGCUAAUACCGGAUAACAUUUUGAAUCGCAUGGUUCGAAAUUGAAAGGCGGCUUCGGCUGUCACUUAUGGAUGGACCCGCGUCGCAUUAGCUAGUUGGUGAGGUAACGGCUCACCAAGGCAACGAUGCGAAGCCGGCCUGAGGGGGUGUUCGGCCACACUGGGACUGAGACACGGCCCAGACUCCUACGGGAGGCAGCAGUAGGGAAGCUUCCGCAAUGGACGAAAGUCUGACGGAGCAACGCCGCGUGAGUGAUGAAGGCUUUCGUGUCGUAAAACUCUGUUGUUAGUGAAGAACAAGUGCUAGUUGAAUAAGCUGGCACCUUGACGGUACCUAACCAGAAAGCCACGGCUAACUACGUGCCAGCCGCCGCGGUAA
rnacentral:rRNA from 1 species